GACGAACGCUGGCGGCGUGGAUUAGGCAUGCAAGUCGAACGGUAUAAACCUUUCGGGGUUUAGAGAGUGGCGAACGGGUGAGUAACACGUAGGUAAUCUACCCUCAAAACGGGGACAACCCAGGGAAACUUGGGCUAAUACCGGAUGCGUGCAAACAAUGUUUUGGCUGUUGUAAUUAUUCACGGAAGUGGAUAGUUAUGAGAGUUUCAGAGCAUAAUUUGCAUAAAAGGUGGCGUAAGCUGCCGUUUGAGGAUGAGCCUGCGUCCUAUUAGUUAGUUGGUGAGGUAAUGGCUUACCAAGGCGAUGAUAGGUAGGCGGCCUUAACGGGUGGUCGCCCACACUGGGAUUGAGAUACGGCCCAGACUCCUACGGGAGGCAGCAGUCGAGAAUAGUCUACAAUGGACGAAAGUCUGAUAGUGCGACGCCGCGUGAACGAAGAAUCCUUUCGGGUGUAAAGUCUUUCUAUGUGAGCAGUUCCUUUUAUAUGAAGAGUAUAGAAGUGGGAUUUAAGCAUAGGAAU
rnacentral:rRNA from 1 species